rfam:Melissococcus plutonius ATCC 35311 DNA, complete genome.
AAUUGUUACAAGUUCAGUUCCCGAAAGGAUUUACAUUAUAGAGUAAAGAUGCCUUGUAACCGAAUAUAAUUAGGGGGAAUAUAUUAUG